rnacentral:rRNA from 1 species
GGAGGUUGUGCCCUUGAGGCGUGGCUUCCGGAGCUAACGCGUUAAGUCGACCGCCUGGGGAGUACGGCCGCAAGGUUAAAACUCAAAUGAAUUGACGGGGGCCCGCACAAGCGGUGGAGCAUGUGGUUUAAUUCGAUGCAACGCGAAGAACCUUACCUGGCCUUGACAUCCAGAGAACUUAGCAGAGAUGCUUUGGUGCCUUCGGGAACUCUGAGACAGGUGCUGCAUGGCUGUCGUCAGCUCGUGUUGUGAAAUGUUGGGUUAAGUCCCGCAACGAGCGCAACCCUUAUCCUUUGUUGCCAGCGGCUCGGCCGGGAACUCAAAGGAGACUGCCGGUGAUAAACCGGAGGAAGGUGGGGAUGACGUCAAGUCAUCAUGGCCCUUACGGCCAGGGCUACACACGUGCUACAAUGGCGCAUACAAAGAGAAGCGACCUCGCGAGAGCAAGCGGACCUCAUAAAGUGCGUCGUAGUCCGGAUUGGAGUCUGCAACUCGACUCCAUGAAGUCGGAAUCGCUAGUAAUCGUAGAUCAGAAUGCUACGGUGAAUACGUUCCCGGGCCUUGUACACACCGCCCGUCACACCAUGGGAGUGGG